rnacentral:rRNA from 1 species
GAGUUUGAUCCUGGCUCAGGACGAACGCUGGCGGCGUGCCUAACACAUGCAAGUCGAACGGAGAAUUUCAAUAAGUUUACUUAGCGAAAUUUUUAGUGGCGGACGGGUGAGUAACGCGUGGGUAACCUACCCAUAAACCCGGGACAACCCUUGGAAACGAGGGCUAAUACCGGAUAAUCUUUGAGCUUGGCAUCAAGCGUUAAGAAAAGGUGGCCUCUGUAUAUGCUACCGAUUAUGGAUGGACCCGCGUCUGAUUAGCUAGUUGGUGGGUAAAGGCCUACCAAGGCGACGAUCAGUAGCCGGCCUGAGAGGGUGAACGGCCACACUGGGACUGAGACACGGCCCAGACUCCUACGGAGGCAGCAGUGGGGAAGUCUUCCGCAAUGGACGAAAGUCUGACGGAGCAACGCCGCGUGUAUGAUGAAGGUCUUUGGAUUGUAAAGUACUGUCUUUGGGGAGAAUGGUGCAUUUGAAAAUAUUGAGUGCAUUUGACGGUACCCAAGGAGGAAGCCCGGCUAACUACGUGCCAGCAGCCG